UUCUCUUCAUAUGAAUGAACAAUUAUUGUAAUGUUGCUAUAAUUUAGAGAGUUUAUUAAUUAUAAAAUUAAUUAAGCUAAUUAAAUUUACAGGAUCUUAGGGAUACCCCUUAUUUCAGCCAAUUUGGCCAUAUGUGGGCCUAUUCUGAGAAUUAGAAAAAAUAUUUUCUACUCAAAGAGGUUUUGUUUCAUAAUUUAAGAAAGUUAGAAGAAUUGUAAUCGUAACCCUGAGGAUUCAGCCUGAUUUAAAGUCUCAUGGUUUCCUUCCUUUUUCAGGGGUCUUGGCUGAAGCAGUCGGUGGCACCCAGGCCUGAGCAUCAUUUCCUGCUCCUCGCACAGAGAGGGUGGAUGCGUCACCAGUUGUAGGGUUUCCCUAUCAACUCUCGUGAAUGGUGCAGGAAAAACACCAGAAUUGCCUAGCUACAGGGCGCCGCCAUUGUGGACACCCAAAGUUGUGCGGAGAAGAAAAGUUGACAGGAGAUCUGAUUGGUCAUUAACAGAAAAUCUUUGUGAUGGAAUUUAAUAGUGAAAUAUAAGUGAUAAAAAUGACAGGUGACAUAACAGAAUAUGUAGAAA